rnacentral:lncRNA from 1 species
UCUGGCUACCUAGGCCCGGGGAGCCCCAGCCGGAUCUGCUGCUGCUGCCUCCCCCAUCGAGCAGUCGCGCCUGUGGCAUACGCAAGGACCUUAAACCCCAAACCCCGGCCUCGGAUUCUGUUUCCCCCUCUCAUCUUCUUUUCUCUUGAAAAAGAAAUAGAAAGCUCAGCCUUGAGACAAAGAGCGCAAGUGAUUUCUCCGAAAUAAACUUGAAGAUAACGACGUAACAAUGAAUGGCAGGACGCACAAAACCCCAUGGGCUCAGGUCAAAUGGCAUUAGUCACAGGUCUUAGUCGCAGCAGCGGCGCCGCGCAGCCCCUUAGGCUAUCGCGGAGUUUGAAAAGACGCGUUCAAGAAGAUCACUUAAAAGAAACAGGGGGAAUCGAGUCAGUGCCACCUCAGCCCCAACCUGAGGAAAGCGAAGAGACUGUCUCCAGGAAGAUUCUCCUUUGAAGCUCUACAUUCGGAGGAGGCUUUCUUGGGGUGGACCAACAUUCUUGAGACCCGCAUUCUUCCCUCCGGUUUUCACGCAUUUGUGGGUUGUAGUUAAUUAAGAAGCUGCCAAGUUAAGCACCCCACAGUCGUAGGUCUCUCUCUCUGGACAACAUCUGGACCUGCGCUGCUCUGGCUUAAAAUGUCAGGGCUGUGAAUUUCAACUUAAACUGCCGAGAGCUCCCUGCGGUUGGAGAAGGGCCAGAAUAGCACUCAUAGCCGUUGGACACCCUUACCCGAGGCAGCUUCCGGCCAGCCUAAACCCUUUGUAAGCGGAAUCCUGCCGUUCUGCAGCCCAGCGCUGCUCUCCUCCUCACCUCCCGCAAGGUGAGGUGCAGAGAGCCCCUUGCAGAAACCCCUAGAGAAAACAGUUUUCCAAGUUGCUGGGAGUUUGAAGGAGACUCGUUUUACUGUUCAGGAAUCCACCAACUCUCAAACUCAACCAGUCUAGAAAUGAAGUAACUCCAGACCUCUUCCCACUCUUUCGGACACCCAUCCAGUGGCCCCAAAGCAUUCAUUUCCAAGUCUCCCUGAGUCGUCAGAAUGGGACUUCUAAGACUGGUUUCACUCACCCCUACAUUUGCUUAACUCUUCAGUUGGAGUAACGGAUAGGGCUGGAGACUAGAGAGGGAGUAUAUUUUCAUGUUCACUGACUUGAAACUUUUCAUUGCCCCACCCCCACAAGAAGGAAAGUAACUUUGCUAAUAGCCUGAAGAUGUAUUUCUAUGAAUAUUUAUUGAUUUAUUUUCCAGGCUUAGCAGGGGAGCUGCAAAUAAAUUUAGUGCGUUCUUUAAAUAAUUCCUUUUCUAUGAGGCAAGAUGUCAUCUGAAACUUCUAAAUAGGCAUUUAAUUAGGCCGGGUGUUGCUUCGGAACAAAAACCUUCGGCGAGAGCUUUGGGGGCUCACUGUAUUGCAAAGAGGCG